CAGUCGCCGCGGGAAUACAGAGGGUGCGAGCGUUAAUCGGAUUUACUGGGCGUAAAGCGUGCGUAGGCGGCUUUUUAAGUCGGAUGUGAAAUCCCUGAGCUUAACUUAGGAAUUGCAUUCGAUACUGGGAAGCUAGAGUAUGGGAGAGGAUGGUAGAAUUCCAGGUGUAGCGGUGAAAUGCGUAGAGAUCUGGAGGAAUACCGAUGGCGAAGGCAGCCAUCUGGCCUAAUACUGACGCUGAGGUACGAAAGCAUGGGGAGCAAACAGGAUUAGAUACCCCCUGUAGUCCCUGUCUCUUAUU
rnacentral:rRNA from 1 species